CUGACUCUUGACUCAGUCUGGAGCUGAGCCUGAGUAGGAGAAGGGCUGUGGAUCUGUAACUGAGGUGGUCACCAGCUCACCUUCUGCCUAGCUCUGCUCCCAGCACCCCACCAAGCUUCGA
rnacentral:precursor_RNA from 15 species